GCUUGUAGUUAUGUGGGAAGCAGU
rnacentral:siRNA from 1 species